rnacentral:rRNA from 1 species
AAGUCGAACGCUUCUUUUUCCCCGGAGCUUGCUCCACCGGAAAAAGAAGAGUGGCGAACGGGUGAGUAACACGUGGGUAACCUGCCCAUCAGAAGGGGAUAACACUUGGAAACAGGUGCUAAUACCGUAUAACAAUCAAAACCGCAUGGUUUUGAUUUGAAAGGCGCUUUCGGGUGUCGCUGAUGGAUGGACCCGCGGUGCAUUAGCUAGUUGGUGAGGUAACGGCUCACCAAGGCCACGAUGCAUAGCCGACCUGAGAGGGUGAUCGGCCACAUUGGGACUGAGACACGGCCCAAACUCCUACGGGAGGCAGCAGUAGGGAAUCUUCGGCAAUGGACGAAAGUCUGACCGAGCAACGCCGCGUGAGUGAAGAAGGUUUUCGGAUCGUAAAACUCUGUUGUUAGAGAAGAACAAGGAUGAGAGUAACUGUUCAUCCCUUGACGGUAUCUAACCAGAAAGCCACGGCUAACUACGUGCCAGCAGCCGCGGUAAUACGUAGGUGGCAAGCGUUGUCCGGAUUUAUUGGGCGUAAAGCGAGCGCAGGCGGUUUCUUAAGUCUGAUGUGAAAGCCCCCGGCUCAACCGGGGAGGGUCAUUGGAAACUGGGAGACUUGAGUGCAGAAGAGGAGAGUGGAAUUCCAUGUGUAGCGGUGAAAUGCGUAGAUAUAUGGAGGAACACCAGUGGCGAAGGCGGCUCUCUGGUCUGUAACUGACGCUGAGGCUCGAAAGCGUGGGGAGCAAACAGGAUUAGAUACCCUGGUAGUCCACGCCGUAAACGAUGAGUGCUAAGUGUUGGAGGGUUUCCGCCCUUCAGUGCUGCAGCUAACGCAUUAAGCACUCCGCCUGGGGAGUACGACCGCAAGGUUGAAACUCAAAGGAAUUGACGGGGGCCCGCACAAGCGGUGGAGCAUGUGGUUUAAUUCGAAGCAACGCGAAGAACCUUACCAGGUCUUGACAUCCUUUGACCACUCUAGAGAUAGAGCUUCCCCUUCGGGGGCAAAGUGACAGGUGGUGCAUGGUUGUCGUCAGCUCGUGUCGUGAGAUGUUGGGUUAAGUCCCGCAACGAGCGCAACCCUUAUUGUUAGUUGCCAUCAUUCAGUUGGGCACUCUAGCAAGACUGCCGGUGACAAACCGGAGGAAGGUGGGGAUGACGUCAAAUCAUCAUGCCCCUUAU